UCCCAAAACAUUUUCUUUAAAUAUAAAUUAUAGUCAAAAUAUUUUUAAGAAACAUUUUAAUAUUAAAAACCUCGGAUGUCAAAGAUGAUACAUAAACAUAAGCAUAAACUAGUUAUUACAGGCCUUACAACUAUUUAUUAUACUAAUGACCUUAAACUCCUUAAAUCUCUCGACAUAGAUCAUUAUCCUUGCAUCUUCGUACCUCUACCUGUGAUACAAAUAAACUGAAUGGGUUAGACUUGGGAGUCUGGUGAGCACAAAGAAUUUUCAACCCACAAUAAUAUAAUUAAAAUAUUUUAAAUAUAUAUUUCACACCAAAUAAUUAACCCGAUUUAUCAUUCCCGUUAUUCUUACUCUCUGAUCAUAAUAUGAUGAUCUCAAGUGAACUGUCCUAAGGAUCACUAUAAGUAACGAGUAAAAAAUAUUGCUUCGGGGGUUCCGUAACAAUAUAUGUCAAUAAGACAACUAUGGGGCAGAUAAAGUACACCUAAUGAACGUAUAAUUCAUUAACACCUACAAGUUGCGAGUCUAUCAGUGUUCCACUGUACUGUUUAGAAGAAUCUUUGAUCUUCAUCUAUACUUUGUUAGAUAACUAGUCACCCUCGGUAUAAUUGUAUCUUAAUAGUCACGACCUCACCUUUAUUAUUUCACAUUUCUCAACCAUUUUCUACCCAACAAUAAUUUAAGUAUGAUAAAAUAAAUAAAUCAGUACUUUUAAUAAAACAUGAUUUAAACCAAGUAAAAUCAUAUAUAACACAAGUAUUGUAAAUAAAAAAAAUAAGUGCAUAUAACAUUUGAGCAAUUAAAUACUCUAUAUCUAUAUGUAAGAUAAAAGUAGCUAUGCACUCACCUAUUAAAGGUGGAUGACUUUUAGUUAAGUUUGCACUCCAAAUACGCUUCAACCUUUUCUUUUAAAAAGAACCUAGAUAUAAAUAAAAAGAAAGAACCUAGAUAUAAAUAUAACUAUGUUUAAUCAUCGUUUAUAUUAUUCACGACUAUCAUUAUAGUUUCUUAGAUUUAUCAAUAAUCCCAAAUGAAACAUGGAGUUAUAGCUGAUAAGUAUAACGACUGGUACUACUGAUAAAUCUUAUUUAUAAGUUCAUAAUAACGAUUAUAAACAUAUAUCUAAGUUAUACUUGAAGCAUAUAAAGCAUAACUCAACUUAUAGGUUGUUUAGCGGAUAACCGGGUAGAGCUUCAAAACCGAAAACUCUAUUUCAUCGGGCUCUCUGGCGCUCCAUAACUUCGCUACUAAUGUCUAAGAAUUGCUAGAAUAGAGCCUCGAGAAGUGAGAAGAAUGUGGGAGAGUUUAUGGAGAAGUGAGCACCUAAACAUGCAUGCAAUCAUUUCUUUGUAUAGGCAUUUUAAUAGGCGCGCCGCGUCCUAUGCCACGUGUCGUGAUCUUGUGCAUUUCCGUAGAGGGCAAGGGUUGUCUAAGAUGCUGACACAUGUCAUCCUCUACUGGUGCCACGUGUCGGCUCCCGGUUUGCUAAUUUUUAAUAUUUUUCUAAAAUUGAUAACUUUCACAUACAAACUCCGUUUUUGAUGACUUUUAUAUCCACGAAUAGGUAUCAAAGAGUACUGCAACUUUCAUUUAAAUUUUGUCGGCUGAUUUUAAUUAUAUUUUUCUUGAUUCGGUUCGAGGAGGCUCGUAUUGUAAAUAACGCUGUGAAAUUCAUAAUUUCUUCAUACGAACUCCGUGUUCGACGUUCUUUUUAUCCGCGUGCAGCUAUUUCCAUGUACUACAACUUUCAUUUAGAUUGUUUUGGCUAAUAAUCAACCGAUUUUCAUUUCGAUUUGUAUCGCACACUAUUGUAGUGUGUCGCACUUGAAACUGCAAAAAACAUAACUUUUCAUAUGAAGUUAGAUUUUGUCGUUCUUUAUGUCGACGUGUAGGUAUUGACGAGUACUUCGACUUUCGUUUAGAUCAUUUAUCCUAAUAACGGUUUCAUUUUAAAUAUGUAUUUGAGUCCUAUUUAUUAAGUUUUAACAUAGGUUUUUCUACAAAUUUAUAUUCACAUAAUAUUUGUUCAGUUUCCCCACAACAUAAUAUAAACACACACACACACACACACACAUAUAUAUAUAUAUAUAUAUUCAAAUAAUUCUUUUUUAUUUAUUCAUAAAUGAUUACAAUCGUCAGUCGACCGACAUAAAUACAAAUCUUUAUAAUUAAUGACUACCGUGAAACGCAGACGUUACAUUUAGUUUGAAAAUUUUAGUGAAGACCAAAGACAAAUUUACAUCUUUGAUAUUUAGAUGACUUGGUAAAAUUUAGAUUUUAAAUAAUUGUUAAUUGUUUUUUUAAAAAUUAUUGCCUCUUGAGCUUUUCAUCUGCAAAAUUCGAUUUUAAAACGAUCUUAUUCUUAGCAAAUUAUUCAAAUCUGAAUUUAAAUGACCAUUUAACAUAACCUUUAUAUAAACGAUAUCUCAUCUCAUAUAAAACAAAACAAUGUUUGUAGAUUGAUCUAUUUUUACCAUUCACACAUUGAUGAUUUGAGAUUAUUUUUCCCCAUCAAAAUUGCGGAACCUCAAUCAUCAUUAUGAAUCAUCCUGUAAAGUUAACAUAAAUAUUGGUUAUUUUUCAGUAAAAUGUUCCAAAAGUCAGCUUCACUAAUUAAGUCAAUAAGUGUUCGCGGAAGAAUAAUGUUGCAAUAAGAGAGAGGAUCAUUAAGCAUAGUUGAUAAUAUGAAUUCGGUGUUGUAUAGUAGUGUGAAUUCAUAUUGUUAAAUACAGUAAUACUGUAUAACCUGAAAUACAAUUUCUACAACCACAAAUUUACAUCAAAUAAAAUAAAUUUCAUAUUAUUUCUCCAAAAAAUACUAAUUUUAGAAGCGGCUCAAGACACACACACCUCUAUCUCUCUCUCACACACACAGAGAUAGCAAGAUUAGCGAUUCUGAAAAUUCCGGCUAACAAACGAUGCCGCUGUGCGACGUCGGACAAUACCAGAGUGGCGACGAUGCAAUUAUCAACCGUGGUAUAAAGAUCUUUUACAGAACCUACGGCGGUGGCCCCGUCAAAGUUCUAAUGAUCAUAGGUACUCCCGAUAACUCUCUCUUUAUCUUUCUUCCCUAAAUAUAAUCCAACUGAAUUCUUAACGAUCAUAGGCAUUUUCGAACUCUGUUUAUCUCUUUUCCCUGAUUAUAAUCUCAUUUCAUCAUCAAAUUGACUUUUUUUUUUGUCAGGAUUAGCUGCGACCCAUAAUUCCUGGAACCCGCAAAUCCAGGGCCUCGUCGGAAGCGUAAAACCCAACGACGAAGACGAUGAUCGGAGUUCCAAUGAGACAGGUGCAGGUAUUGAGGUGUGUGCCAUUGACAAUCGGGGAGUAGGUCGUAGCUCUAUACCAACUAAAAGAUCAGAAUAUACGUAAGGAUAUCAAAUUUCGGAUCAUCUUUUUGGGUUUAUAUAUUGUGAUUUUAGGUUUGAUUUUGUUUCAUUGAAGCAUAAAUAAAUGAGUUAAAUGUUGGGUGCAGAACAAGUAUAAUGGCUAAAGAUGCGAUAGCAGUAAUGGACCAUUUGGGUUGGAAGAAAGCUCAUGUAUUUGGCCACUCAAUGGGUGAGUCUGAGUCAACUCAACUAUGUUGUUUAUGAAAUUCAUUUAGAAAGUACAUUCAUUGCCUAUUUGAAGGAAUUUGAAUCUUGAAAAUCUAAGAUUGUGUUUGUGUUGUGUGGAGGUGGUAUGAUUGCUUCAAAACUGGCUGCUCUAUUUCCAGAUAGAAUUCAGUCUUUGGCCUUACUUAAUGUAACUGGUGGAGGCUAUCAAUGUCUUCCCAAGGUACUAAACUACAACAAAUUAUCUUUCAUCUAAACUUACAUUCAGCUUAAUGAGUUUUUAAUUUUCCUUUCUAAAAUUUAUUUUCAUUUCUGCAGCUUGAUCGCCAAACAUUUUCCAUUGCUAUUCGUUUUUUGAUGGCAAAAACUCCAGCACAGAGAGCAGCGGUGGAUCUCGACACUCACUAUACACAGGUCAAACUCAAAAGUCAAACCAUCUACCUUUUCCUUAUUAAGGGAAGGGGUAUUUUAGACUUUUCACAACUUGUCUGAUUUUCAAAAGAAGACAUGUUUCUACUGAAUUGUGCAGGAAUAUCUUGGAGAAUAUGUUGGACGUGAAACAAGAAGAGCAGUACUAUAUCAAGUAAGAAUUUAAUUUAAUUAUUAUCUACUUUUUUUACAAAUUCUGUUUAUUUAUGAAAUAUUUUUCCAGGAAUAUGUUAAAGCAAUUUCAGCGAGUGGGAUGCAAUCCAAUCAUGGAUUUGAUGGUCAGAUUAAUGCUUGUUGGACACACAAAUUAUCACAAACAGAUCUAGAAAUCAUCCGAAAACAAGGUUUUUUAAUAUCAGUCAUUCAUGGCAGGUAUAUAUACAUAUCUUUGUGUUAGUUUAGACUUUAGAAACUGAUGAUUCCUUAAAUUUCUGUAGAUCUGAUGUUAUUGCUCAAGUAUCUCAUGCAAAAAGACUCGCACAAAAACUAUAUCCACUUGCAAAGAUGGUUGAACUUCAUGGAGGUCAUCUUGUGAGUCAUGAGAGGACCAAAGAGGUACAUACAUACAUAACAUACAUAACAUACAUAACAUACAUACAGUGUUUUACUGAUAUGUGUGCAAACAUUGUAAAUUUAGGUGAAUGAAGCUUUACUUGAAUUGAUAAGGGCAUCAGAGAGCAAUAUAAGUCCACAUGAUUGGACAAAUUUGUCUGGGAAGAGCACUAGUAAGAUUGGUCAAGUAGAAAUAAGAAUCCAGUUUUCAAUUUGGAUUAAGAUUAUAUUUGGGAUGAUGGAAUGGAAUCACAAAGGAAUGGAAUGAGAAAGGAUUAAAACUGUGUUUCAUUAUCAUGUUUGGUUGACUUGCAAGGAAUGGAAUAUGAGUCAUUUAAACAUGUUUAAUGUUUUAUGUGUAAAACUAGAAAAUCAAAUGAAAUUAUAUUGGUGAAGAAAGAAAAAGAUAUAUUUUAUAAGAAUAAAGUUUAACCAGAUAAAGAUAAUUAGCCAAAUAAAUUGCAUAACAAUAUAUUUCAUGUCAUUUGAAAUUAGUCUAUAUGUAUUUCAAACAGUCAAAAUAAGUUUAUUUAUCACUUUAAAAGAUUUGUUUGGCAAAGAUAAAAAAUUUAAACAAAAUCAUAUACCAUGAUAUCUUAAAAUAUAAUUAUAGUAAAAGAAACUUUUAGUCCUUUUCUGAAAAUAACAAUAAAAAAUAAUUGAAAUUUUGGAAGUUUUUAAAAACAUUUUUCUUAUCAAAGAUGAUGCAAGUUGAAGUAAUUUUGAGUUAUAAUAUAUCAAAAUAAAACACCCCUACCCCAUGGAAUGAAUUUCAGACAAGGCAAAUGAAUCACAUUCCAUGAAGAAUGCUCUAUUCCAUUCCCUCUUUGCAGUAGAACUCAUGGAACACAAAUUAUGACAUUCAUAACUGAAGCAAACAGAAAUUGGCAAUAAUAAACCAAUGUGUGUGUGUGUGUUUUUUUUCUCAGGUAUCUGGUCAAUGAGCUGGAUUUCCUCUAGUGGAUCUAAGUCAGAAGGAGGAAUCACUGAUGGAACUCUUAGAAGCAUCAUGCUAUACAUAUUUAGCAUCUUUGUUUUAUUAUUCGAGUACAUAAGAAAAGUUCCUAGACGCAUAAGGCCAGUCAGGGUAGGCACUGCUCUCACAUGAUGAUGAUGAUGAUGAUGAUGAUGAUGAUGAUGUUAUGUGGUAAGCAAUCAAAUUCAUUCUUUAAUAAGUUUUGUGUAUUUAACCUAAUAAUCUUAAUCACUCAAAACCAAAUUACCAUGCAGGUAAUUUACUAAACAUAUUGAUGUAAGGCUCAACAAAGUGCAGAAAAGAUGAAUGAUAUAACUUUAUAAGUUAUAACAAAUAGAAACAUAUACAAGAGGGAGUUUUGAGUUGCAAUGGGAUUCAACCCAAAAGCAUAUAAUUUUCGAGUAUUUUAUAUAUAACCAAACUGCAAUCCAGCUAGAGGGAGUCCUAUGGAUGCUAUCACUCUUGCUUUUUCCUGAUUAUACUUAAUGUUGUAAAUUACUCUUGCUCAUAUUUUGAGUCAAAUCACCAAAUUCUUAUACAAUCCAUAAAAACAAAACUGGAUGAUGUUUAAUUAAAGCAUGUUUUUACUCCUAACUGUGGCGCUUUUUCUGAGAAUAUGCAAACUUAUUGUAAAUGACAUGUUUGAGAAAAUUUAGGGUUUUAGUUUUACUCCCAAAUAUGGUGCAUUUACUGUCGACGUGUAUUUACCUAUAGAAAGAACACCACGAAUUGAUGUUGUACGAACUUGUAAAUGACAGCUUGAGAAAACCUGUCAUCUACAAUUCGUUUCUAGCUGUAUGUGCUAUAUGUGUAGGGAUUAAUAUGCACCUUCAAGUUCAAUCGACUGUCUGGAGUUGAAUUUGUUGAUUCGAUUCCAACAUCAAACGACUUCAAACCAUAUGAGUUCUGAACUUGAUCAUUCAAUUGCUAUACUGCGUGAGGCCGAUAGCAAUUCACAAGAACCUAAAUAUCAAUCGGACCACAACAACAAAACCUAUGCUUUCCUAAAAUUUGUGUUUUAUAGAUAGGUUCACGAUAGCCAAUAUAAUCGCAGUGUCACGUCAUCAAAGAAAACAAAACAAUCAACUACACACAUACAUAAACAAACACACAGAGAGAGAGAGAGAGAGAGAGAGAGAGAGAGAGAGAGAGAUGUUACCCGUGUUGUUUGCUUAAUAUCGUGGGAUUCUCCAUGCUCACGAUUGAGGAAGGUGGUUGACUGGUUGGGACUUAGGAACUUGGCUUGUGUAGUGAACAUAAAUUAUUAAAUUAAAAAGUUUAAGUAGCAUGUGUGAUAAUAUGCCAUUCGGAAAUGGAAUAUUCUACAUUAUAUAUGGCAUUGCAUGAAAGAAGAUAAUUUUGUUUUUAAAAUAUGAGACUUACAAGACUACAAUAUUAUUUAUCUAGGAGCUAUUCAUUAACAGGGUCGAUUUAGACUAUUCAAGUGUCCAGGACGACUCAAAAAAAAAUCUUAGUCCUUAAAGUAACGAAUUAAAUUAUAUAAACUAAAGUUUUUUUAAAACGAUGUUAAACUUUAUAAUAAUAAACAUAGAAAAAUCAUAUUAUUUUAUACAUAAAACAAGUAUAAUUCGAAAAUUCAAAAUUUUAACUCCAUCAAGGAACAAAUUGGGAAGCUAAAUCCGCGCGACAUUGGUUGGAGAGUUAUCCACUUAACAAUAGAUCUACAUUCGUGGGCAUCAAAUUUGGAGAAGAGAUAAAGAGGUGAUAAGCUUAUUGUUACCGGUCCUAAAGACUUGGCAACCCUACUUGCAAUAUUUUUACCUCGACAAGUAUAAUAUUUAGCUUAUAAAAAAUUAUUUAGGAUUGCUCCCUUUCUUUAGAUUAUAUUAGUUAAUAAAGAAUCAUUGAGGUAAUUUUACUCUACCAUAAUAUCUGUCUCAAUUAUAGCCAUUCCUGAGAAAGAACUACAAAAUGGGCACCACCACCGUUCUAGCAAUAAAAAAAACUUGAUCAAACUCACACUUUGUGAAACAUGGAGCUUUAUAGUUAUCUCCCAUGGAUAACAAAAUCAAAAUGUAUCUCAUGUUCAAGUAAUUUAGAUUAUGUUAAAUUUACAAGGAUUACCCUUUUUGUUAGAAACUGUGAUGCCUAUGUUUUUCUUCAUUCUUUUUUUUUAUUUGGAUUAUAUGUAACUUUUGCAGAUAUGUCUAUCACUAUCACCUUCAACAUUUCCAUAUGAAAGUUUGAUAGCAUCAAGUCUGUAUCAAGGGUAAUUUUGGAACAUGAGGUAAGAUCUUCUAUUUUGUCACUUCCACAUGGCUUCAUGUUACCAUUAUUCGACGCUUCAAACAAUCAAUCCAUGGAUAAUCUGUUAGACUAAUAAUCUGAUUUCUAAUAAACAUUAAACCUAAUCUUAUAGACUGAUAAUAUGAUUUGGCAAUUCUGAUUCAAGGCUUGGAAUAAAAAGAAAAGUAGAAACCUUUUACCUGAAAAGCGUUGUUGUGUUGCAAGCUGCUGAAUCACUUACAGAGGUAGUCGACUGGUUGUGGGAUUUUGGAUAUCGACUUCACUUCUGUCUUCUGGUGGUGCGUGGUUGACGAACGACAAUUAUUGAGCCUUCCUGUUUCUAAUUGGGUAACUUGUAUAUAGUAUUAAAAAAAUUGGGCCCCAUAAAAAGUGGGCCCUGUGCAAUUGUCC
rnacentral:lncRNA from 1 species